rnacentral:rRNA from 1 species
GAUGAACGCUAGCGAUAGGCUUAACACAUGCAAGUCGAGGGGCAGCAUGGUCUUAGCUUGCUAAGACUGAUGGCGACCGGCGCACGGGUGCGUAACGCGUAUGCAACUUGCCUCACAGAGGGGGAUAACCCGUCGAAAGACGGACUAAUACCGCGUACACUCUAUUUUGGGCAUCCAAGGUAGAGGAAAUGAGAUUCGCUGUGAGAUAGGCAUGCGUCCCAUUAGCUAGUUGGUGAGGUAACGGCUCACCAAGGCGACGAUGGGUAGGGGAACUGAGAGGUUGACCCCCCACACUGGUACUGAGACACGGACCAGACUCCUACGGGAGGCAGCAGUGAGGAAUAUUGGUCAAUGGGCGAGAGCCUGAACCAGCCAAGCCGCGUGAAGGAUGACUGUCUUAUGGAUUGUAAACUUCUUUUGUAGGGGAAUAAAGAGGGGCACGUGUGCCCCAGUGAAUGUACCCUACGAAUAAGCAUCGGCUAACUCCGUG